GACGAACGCUGGCGGCGUGCUUAACACAUGCAAGUCGAACGAUGACGACCGAGCUUGCUCGGUCUGAUUAGUGGCGAACGGGUGAGUAACACGUGAGCAACCUGCCCUUCACUCUGGGAUAACCUCGGGAAAUCGGGGCUAAUACCGGAUAUGAGCUCCUGUCGCAUGGCGGGUGUUGGAAAGUUUUUCGGUGAAGGAUGGGCUCGCGGCCUAUCAGUUUGUUGGUGAGGUAGUGGCUCACCAAGGCGAUGACGGGUAGCCGGCCUGAGAGGGCGACCGGCCACACUGGGACUGAGACACGGCCCAGACUCCUACGGGAGGCAGCAGUGGGGAAUAUUGCACAAUGGGCGAAAGCCUGAUGCAGCGACGCCGCGUGAGGGAUGACGGCCUUCGGGUUGUAAACCUCUUUCAGUAGGGAAGAAGCGAAAGUGACGGUACCUGCAGAAGAAGCGCCGGCUAACUACGUG
rnacentral:rRNA from 1 species